UGUGAGCCAGAAAAUCAAAAACAAGGCAAGCUUGGCUCCAACUUAUUCUCCUGCUGUCCCUCAGGAAGAGGAGCCAGGCUGCCCAGAGCCCACGCAGACUGCUGGACAUGUGACCUAUGAUAAACACCAAGGACUUUCAUCACACACAGCUCCCUACAGGAAUGAGAGCAGACAUAACUCCUUGCCCAAAGUCCUGGCCCUGGCACCAGAAGGGUGUGACAAGAAUAAUAAAGCCAGAAGUAGAACCUUUGUGACUCACCUCAGCCCGGUCCCCUGGACUUGUAGCUGAAUCUACAUGGGCUCAGAGCCAGGCCCCUGUGGUUGAGGGCGCAGUGACAAGGUGAGUCACAUCCAUAGUCACGUGACUGGAAGGAUUAAAUGAGCAACAGCUCCAUGCCAUG